rnacentral:rRNA from 1 species
UACGUAGGUGGCAAGCGUUAUCCGGAUUUAUUGGGUGUAAAGGGCGUGUAGGCGGGAAAGCAAGUCAGAUGUGAAAACCAUGGGCUCAACCUGUGGCCUGCAUUUGAAACUGUUUUUCUUGAGUACUGGAGAGGCAGACGGAAUUCCUAGUGUAGCGGUGAAAUGCGUAGAUAUUAGGAGGAACACCAGUGGCGAAGGCGGUCUGCUGGACAGCAACUGACGCUGAGGCGCGAAAGCGUGGGGAGCAAACAGG